rnacentral:rRNA from 1 species
GAUGAACGCUGGCGGCGUGCCUAACACAUGCAAGUCGAACGGAAAGGCCCUGCGCUUGUGGGGUGCUCGAGUGGCGAACGGGGGAGUAACACGCGAGUAACCUGUACCUGAAAGAGGGAUAACACCAGGAAACAGGGGAGAAAAUCGGAGAGGAGCUACUGAAGCACGGGGGGGGAUGGAAAGAGACGGCGGUGUGGGAUGGACUCGCGGGUUAUCAGCUGGAUGGUGGGGUAGGGGCUUACCAAGGCUUUGACGGGUAGCCGGCCUGAGAGGGUGACCGGCCACCUUGGUCCUGAGAUACGGCCCAGACUCCUACGGGCGGCAGCGGUCGGGAGUCUUGCACAAUGGGCGGGAGCCUGAUGCAGCAACGCCGCGUGCGUGAUGACGGCCUUCGGGUUGUAAACCGCUUUCGCCUGUGGCGAAGCGUGAGUGACGGUACUGGGUCAAGAAGCACCGGCUAACUACGUG